UGGGGAAUAUUGCACAAUGGAGGGAACUCUGAUGCAGCGACGCCGCGUGAACGAAGAAGGCUUUCGAGUCGUAAAGUUCUUUUAUAUGGGAAGAUAAUGACGGUAUCAUAGGAGGAAGCCCCGGCUAAAUACGUGCCAGCAGCCGCGGUAAUACGUAUGGGGCGAGCGUUGUCCGGAAUUAUUGGGCGUAAAGGGUACGUAGGCGGUCUAUUAAGUCAGGUGUGAAAGCGUGAGGCUUAACCUCAUUAAGCACUUGAAACUGAUAGACUUGAGUGAAGGAGAGGAAAGUGGAAUUCCUAGUGUAGCGGUGAAAUGCGUAGAUAUUAGGAGGAAUACCGGUGGCGAAGGCGACUUUCUGGACUUUUACUGACGCUCAGGUACGAAAGCGUGGGGAGCAAACAGG
rnacentral:rRNA from 1 species